rnacentral:rRNA from 1 species
GAUGAACGCUGGCGGCGUGCUUAACACAUGCAAGUCGAACGGAAAGGCCAGUGCUUGCACUGGUACUCGAGUGGCGAACGGGUGAGUAACACGUGGGUGAUCUGCCCUGCACUUCGGGAUAAGCCUGGGAAACUGGGUCUAAUACCGGAUAGGACAAUGGUUUGGAUGCCGUUGUGGAAAGUUUUUUCGGUGUGGGAUGAGCUCGCGGCCUAUCAGCGUGUUGGUGGGGUAAUGGCAUACCAAGGGGUCGUCGGGUAGACGGCCUGAGAGGGUGUACGGCGACAUAGUGGCUGAGAGACGGGCCAGACUCCUACGGGGGACAGCAGUGGGGAAUAUUGUGCAAUAGGGGCAAGCGUGAGACAGAGACGCCGCGUGGGGGAGAACGGCCUUCGGGUUGUAAACUCCUCUCGCGAGGGUCGAAGCGUAUUUGUGACGGUAACGGGAGAAGAAGCACCGGCUAACUACGUG